AACAAACAAAAAACCCUGUGUGUGUCCAGCACACACCAACAAACGCACACACUCCCUGAAAACAAAUGAGGAUUAAGGACCCCAGAAACCCUGGUUCUCUGUGUUUGUAGAAACUGAAGUUGCAGUGGUGUCAAAGUUUUUAAUCCCUAGUAUUCCUCUUUUUAUGUCACAGUUGUGUCCCUUUUUAAAUACAAAAAUUUAAGAAAGGCAACCUGAGUAAACACAAAAUGCAGUUUUGAAAUUGACGGAUGAAAAACUUAACAUCAAGGAGCCAGUGUGGAAAACAAACUUAAAACUGUUUUUAACG